CAUGUAACCGACGAUCCUACAGUGCUGCGGACAGCGCGUCUCCUUAUACCUCCUACUGGCGGCCUGCUCUGCCCUACUGUGCCCUCCUUCCUUCCUGCCCAGAUGCCCCGCUUACACAACGAACAGGUACACAACGGAAUCACCACCGAUGCGGAGGACCAACAGAAUAUCAGCAGCAACGGUCACCAGACCAUCUCCUCUGGCGAGGACAACCCCCAGCUGCACGGCUCCAUCGUUGAAUUCGACUCCAGCACGCCACCUGCCAUCGGCGUGCCGAACAGCUACUCGCUGCCGCUGUCGUGGCACAGGCUUAGCUACAGCGUUGGCAAGAAGCGCAUCCUGUGCGGGCUGACGGGGACGGCGCUGCCCGGGCGAUGCCUCGCAAUCCUCGGGUCGUCCGGUGCCGGCAAGACAACGUUCCUGAACGCGAUCUGCGACCGACUAGCGUCUGGCGGUGAGCUGAAGCUGAGCGGGAGGCGCCAGCUGGGCGACUGUGAGUUCGAGCGGCACUUUCGCAAGGCGAUGGGGUUCGUGGCGCAGGACGACAUCAUCUCGCCGCUGUCGACGCCGUACGACGCGCUGUGGUUCUCGCUGCGCACGCGGCGCGGGACGGGCCGUGCGGAGACGGAGGAGCGUGUGCAGGAGAUGCUGAGUGUCCUGCGGUUGCGGCACUGCCGCGGCACGAAGGUCGGCAUUCCCGGCCUGGAGGCUGGGCUGUCUGGUGGGGAGCGCAAGCGGUGCAGCAUCGGGAUCGAGCUGAUCUGCGACCCGAAGAUCCUGCUGCUUGAUGAGCCGACGUCUGGGCUGGACUCCGUGACGUCCGCGAAGGUGGUGCACCUGCUGCGCCAGCUGUCGCGGACCGGCCGCACUGUGAUCUACACGAUCCAUCAGCCGACUGCGGAGGUGCUGUCGUACUUCGACGACGUGAUGCUGAUGACGCAGGGCCGCAUUGCGUACCACGGGACGAUGGCUGCGUCGCUGGACUACUUCGAGUCCAUCGGGUUCCCGUGCCCGAGCAAGUACACGCCGACGGACUACUACAUGGUGCUGCUGCAGGACAGCGUGACGAGCAAGGUCCUGAUCAAGCGCUGGCGCAAGUACCUGAAGAACGGACCUCGCACGCCGCACACUGCCGCUGUGCGUUUCGCGAGGAGCCGCAGUGAGUCGUCUGCUGCACGGUUCUUGGAUGCAUACAUUGUGAAGUUCGGCAGCUCGCCGGCUGUGCAGUUGUACGAGCUGACGCGGCGCAGGAUGAUGGAGAUCUCGCGCGACUCCCUGUAUCUGUUCUCGUACACGGCGCAGGCGAUCUUCUUCGCCGUUGUUGUGGGCCUGAUCUUCUUGAAUGUGCGGGCCAACGUAGAGGGAAUUCAGGAUCGCCAAGGCGUGCUGUUCUUGACCGUGAUGAACCGUGCGAUGAGCUCCACGUUCAUCAUGAUCAAUACGUUCAACAAUGUGCGUGCCGUGUUCAUGCGUGAGCAGCAAGCUGGUGCGUACUCGCCGCUGAUGUUCUUCCUUGGCCGUAGUUUCGCCGAGUUUCCCGUGCAGAUUUUUGCAGUGCUGGUAGAGAGCUGCAUCCUCUACUGGAUGGUGGGGCUGCAUCGUCAUCCCGGCUCCUUCUUCUACUACUUUGGUGUGAUUGCGUUGCUGUCGCAGGUGGCAACUGGUCUGGGCUUCGCGAUCUCCACCUCGUGCCCGUCGCUUGUGGUGAGCUCUGCCAUGGCGCGUGAUCUUGAUUCGCUGCUCUAGGCGGUGGUCUGUUCGCAAGCACGGACCGUCUGCGCCCGUACUGGUACUGGUUGGAGAAGCCGUCCUUCAUGCGCCACGCGUACAUCCUCGUGCUGCGCAAUGAGCUGCACAAUGUUCCCCACAUUGCGUGCGACUACUACCGCUGGGGCGACGGGUACUGCAUCAACCAGCCGCGUGACGGACGCACGGUGAUGCGUCUGCUUGGGUUUGAUGGUGAUCCGCAGUCGGCGAGCGUGUACAUGUGGGUUUCGCUUGUGAUUAUGUUCUUCCUGCUCCGCACUAUCAGCAUGAUCGCGCUGGUGGUGGCUGCUCGCGAGAAGACGUAGCGACACAGACGACUGUGCUGCGUAACGGGUGUUGUGGAUAAUGCAUCACGCGAUUUUGUGGCGCCUGGCCGUGGUGAAAGCUGGCAGAGGGAGAAUGAGGACACCGCUUCGCCUUCCUGUGGGCCUAGUGGCGGCUAAGGUUAGAAGGUGGAGCGGUGUAGCGGGGAUAGAUUCAUCGAUGUGCAAUGACGGUGGAUGUGGUGUAGGUCAAUUUCAGGGCGUUAGACCUCCUGUCCGCGGACUGCAGCCUAUGAGUAUGCGCGCCCUCAUCGCUCUUGCUGAGUUGUUUCGUGCUCUGCCGAGGGUGGGGCGGACGCCUUUAGUGCUUUCUGUCUUUUUGCGGUGCCGCACCCCUCGUGACCAUUCUUCUUGCUGUCAGGUUGUGACGCUGCGGCGGAUGUGUUGCCGCCCUCUUCUUUCAACUGGUGACGCGCGCGAACACUGGAUGAGGCAAGGUGCGCUGGAGCCCGCCUAUCAGUGCACAUCGUGCUGCGUGUAGGAGAUGUGCUUUAUUUCUCCAACGGCCGCUGCUUGUGCUUCUCUUUCCUGCUGCAUCGUUUUUUUUUUUGUUUCUCGCUCGCUCUCUCACUGUCUUGACGAGAGAUCUAGAAGGGGAAAGCUCUCACAUGACCACGUCACGCGCUUAUAGCGGUUUUUUUUUGUCUUUUCAUGGGCAGGCGGGGCGGGGAUGCACUCACGUGCAUCGGUGUGUGCGUUGGUAUGUGGGUGCCCGUGAUGUUUUGUCUCUCCUGCCACUCUAGCCUCCUCCCUCUUUCUUGCUAUUGCUCCGCUAUAUCUAUAUAUUUAUGUAUUUGCAUUUCGCCAUGUGCCCGUGAUGCUGGUGUCGUUCGUGCUUGCGUGGAGGGCUUUCACCUCUCUUCUCCCUGGUGCCACGUUGUGGGCCGGCAGGGACUAAUUUUCGUCUCUCUUCUAUUGUCUGCUGCUACCUUGCAACGCCUCUGCUCUCUCUGUUGGUGAGUCGCGUCUGAGUGCGGGUGCUGUGCCGGACGCUUUCUGUGCUCCUCUUGCUUGUUUUGCCAGGGUGACGACAUACCACUUGUACCGUCCCCAGCGCACAUCCACAAGCCUUCCCUCCCUCUCCUCCCCCCUCGUAGCCACCUAGUCGUCGUGUCGCGUGCAGCACGGCUGUGCCCCCGCUCGCGGUGUGUGCUGGCUGGCUGAAGUGUUCUUUCACGGAGUGCAAGAGAGCGUGUUUUGCAUGAGCUGCGUGAUGGUUGAAACUGCUGCUUCGCUGUGUUCGGUGCGACACGUCUUGGCGCGCUUCCUCCUCUUCGCGCUACGGUUCCCUCUUAUGUCCAGGUUACCGCGGUGAGUGGAAGAUGGCUGCGCAUCUCUAUCUGGCCAGGGUGUCAGCGUGGGAGGGGGUGGGAGAGCUCACUUCGACACCCGCCGCUGCAGCCGCUCUCCGGCAAAGACCACUCGACUCGUGCUACUCCUGCGCGUCUCCUUCUUUUGACCUCUGGCGACGCUCCACCAUCACAUAUACCAGGUCACGCGCCAGCUUACCCAGCCCACGCUCUUUCUUUCAGUGUGCUCUACUUGUGGUUUCUCUCAUGGGUCGGUUCCGUACCGUGGUGCAUGCACUCCGCCAUACGCACCACAG
rnacentral:misc_RNA from 1 species